CCGCCACGCCGGCCGAGGGGCGCCGCUGGGCGAGGAUCCCCUGCAGCACUCGGGUACGCGAAAGCUUGCGUUGUGUGAAACUGUUCCCGCUGCAGUGCUGGAUGCUAACGUGAAAUACUCCCGUCUGCUGUUUCUCUCAUUUUCUCUCACUGUAAUUUUGACGGUAGUUGUGUUUUUUUUUUUUUAUUUUUUUUUGGCCUGUAUCUUUAACAGGGAAAAGAGCCUGCAGAAGGUUCAACUGAACGUGCUGUAUGUUACACAUGUGACUAAGUUCAACAGCAAGAUGGGAUCACUCAGGGUAUUAUUAAAACCACGAGUAAGGCUCUUGCACCGAGUGGCUGACUCAGGAUCAAACAAACGCUUUCUGGCUGUAUUAGAGGGCUGUUUGGGAAAAGUGCCAAAAUGGGAUUAUGAUUUGGACAGGAAAUUAGGUUCUGUAGUAACCCAGCUACAUUUGUAAGCCCCCAGGCUCUUGAAGUGCACUUUGAUGCUGGCCUCACCACAGCUGUUCUCUCUUUCACUACAAGUGUAGAUCUGAGUCACCUGUGGGGGGAUGGCAGAGAAGGGAGUUCUGGAUACCCACAGCUAUGCAUCACAUGGCUGCCACUCACUGGAGCAGGGCACUGGCCUUCAGAGAUGUGUCACAGCUCUGCCACUCAGUCCCAUCUCCUAACCUGUCAGCAAGUGCUUUCCACAUCUAAAGUGUGCUAAGUAUUCUGCUUCCUAGAAAUCAACCUGUACUUGAAAGGUAUUCUACAAUAUUCCAAUGAAGAAGGCUACAUAGUGCGCAGCUAACAAUGGUAUGCUUUCUGGAUUCUAUAUAAUAAGUAAGACAUACGGCUAACUGUGGGCUUCUGUAUGUACAAGAUAAAAUACUGUUAAUAAGAAGAUUACUGAAAGCUGAUUGAAUCAAGUCAUUCGUUGUGGAAGGACAUGGUGGGUGGAAAACCCAUUCACCUGCUGGGCUCAAAAAGUAAUGAACACUGGUUUGAAAUCCAUAUAGCACUGGGUUACUAAUGGCAUUCCUCAGAGGUGGGUAUUGGGAGGUAUUUAAAAUGUGAUUAGAGAAGGCUCAGAGUAGCUUGUUCUAACCUUGAAGUUUUCCUUUUUCCUUUAAGUUUUCCCCCAUCAGGGGCUGGGUUGGACCAGAGAUCUCCAGAGGUCAGUUCCACCCUGAAUUAUUCUAUGAUUCUGUGACAAAAGAGUGGUGAAGAAUGAACUCAGAAUGUUGUUUGAAGGGAGGGAAACUGCAGUCAGCUGUACCCACAUCUUGAUGAUCAAUGGAGGGCAACUGCAUAAACAAGAUAAUAUGGUUUGCAAGAAGACUGAACAACAUCAGGGUAGCAUAACAGUACUCCUUCAUAUUCACCUGCCUCUUUGAUGUAUAGAAACCAGAAAGUAAGUUGAGGCUAUUAUUUGGGGUCUGUUUAUCAAUGCAAGCUACAGUAUGCAGAGAAACCUGUCGCCCAAGAUCCUGGAGAACAAAGUGGUGAACAAAAAACCAAAGCUUUUCUGUCCUGGCCUAAAGCUGCAGUACUGCGCUGUACAGGAGAGAAGAAUUCCAAAAAAGCUCUCAUCAUCAUUCUAUCAAGAAAAAAAUGGUUCUGCUUCUUAGUACAGUAAGAUAAUCUUUUCCUCACUGUUCUUUUUCACAAUCUCACUGAUUUAUUUUUUUAAAAAGAUUUUGGGCAAACUAAG